GGAGCUGUGCUGGGGAAGGGAAACCAAGGUUUGGAACCACACUAGCCUUCACAUUCCUGGGAGGAUACAACCCUCGCCUGGACGGGGAAGAUAGCUCUUUCUCUUUAUUUUUUCUUUUUUAUUUUUUGCCUUUCUGUUUUUAUUUUUGGAGGGGAGCGCCCAGUAAUUGUCUUGAACACAUGCUUCUCCCUCCCUCCUUCCUCCAGCCACCAGCGACAGAGAGUCCCCUUUUUUGCAUUUAUCAUUUUCCUUCCCCUUUCUUUAUUAAAGGUCCGGGAGUGGCGGCGGCCAAUCAGCGCUCGGCUUCCAUUUUGUGAGUUCAACUCGUAGGCUUCCCCGGCUUUUCGCGUGGAUCUGGUUGCAGACGCCCUCGGUCUCUCUUCUCGGGCUGCCGAGGCGAAGCAGCCGCCUCGCCGGGGCUUCGUGGUGGUGUAUUUCAUAUUGGGGCUCUUUUCGGGGUUUGUAAUUUGGCCGUGGGUAGGUAAUUGGCUGGAGCAGGGCGGCAGGGUGCGGCAGCCAAUCAGCGCGCGGCUUCUAUAGGGCUUGAGUUAUUAGACGCUGAUCUCAAAACAUCCUUCAUCAGACUCCAAGGAGAGGCCAACAGAUGAGGGAGCCAUUUUUCUGCAAUGGAAUUAAAUGGCCAAGUGGGACUCACACUUGGAAGAAUGAAGACCUUUUAAAAAGAUCUGGAUUUUUCCUUAUGACUUGGAAUCCAUCUUUGUCUUGUAUAACUAGGUCAUAGCACACUAUUAAUGUCAGCAGUUAACAGUUUUGAAUUCAAAAAAACCUAAAGCACUAAACAGCCCUCAGCGAAGCCGCCUUUUUGCCAGCCCAACCCUGGAAAGUUUGCAGUCGUGGAAGGAGCAGAAAUACCACGAGUGUAACUUACAAAGAAGCUUUUUCUUCUAGACGCCAUGGCGCCGGGCUGAGUGGGUCUUGGCCGGAGACCGGAGCCAUGUCUGUGUUAUUCCCACUGUAGACAAUCCUUGCUUCCUCUGGACAUCUGGAGCAGGCCCAAUUUGACUGAGAGCCUUCCCCCACUAAGGAAUUCCUGGACAAUGGAGAGUGCCCCAGGCCCCCUGAACAUCUUGCUGA
ensembl:lincRNA AI480526 expressed sequence AI480526